UUGCAGAAUCCCGUGAACCAUCGAGUCUUUGAACGCAAGUUGCGCCUGAAGCCAUUAGGUUGAAGGCACGUCUGCCUGGGCGUCACGC
rnacentral:rRNA from 1 species